CCAACAGUGCAGCCCUGCUGGGUCCAAAUCAGCUUCUUAAUUUCUCUUUAUUUCUUUUUCAUUCAGCAAUUAAUGAGUUGUCCUGCACUGAUGUUGUGUAAUUUCCUUUGUCAGCAGUUCAGGGAGAGCACUGGCAGGUUGGACAGGGAUUAGAGAUGGACAGCAAGAGCUGGGAAGUGUGAAGAAGGUUCUGCUAAAUUUCAAGGAAUUUGGACUGCUGAGAGCAGCUUCCCAGGGGAGCCCUGCAAGGCUCUGAGAGUGCUCCCAGGAGAGUUUGGCAUGGCAGAAGAUGCAUUUCCAUGCUGCCUCUUCCUCUGCUUUGAGCAGGCCAACGCUGCCAGAUGGAAAUUGCCAAGGGCACGAGGCUGGGAAGUGAAGAGCAGAGCUGCUGUGAAGGGAAAGCUCAGUUCAUUCAGAGAGAUCACACAGGUCACUUGAGCACUGUUACAGGUAGGAAGCAGAAAAUGAGAGAUUUCCAGGAAAGCCUUUGUAGUUUGGUGGGGAAAAGGAGUCGUGAUACCCAGUGGCUGCAGGGAUGGUGAUCCAAAUUAGUUCUGAGCAGAUUUCCUUUUUUUUUUUUUAAUUGGUGAGGGUUAUUAACCUUACCUGCAGUUAUAAGGCCAAA